GAACGGCUGAAGCGAAGAAGACGAAAAGCCCGCAAUUAAAUGUAGAACGUUGACUUCCUGGAAAACUUUGGAACCUGAAAUCAUCAGCUUCUGUUUCACGUGACCGCCCAGAUGUCAUCGCCCUCGGCGCUCAACCUAUUGCACAUGACUGAGUUGCAACUUAAUCCACCGUACUUUAAGAGGACUAACAACAGCAGACCUUAGAGGCCGAGGCUACAGCUGAUGUAACUAAAGCGACCACUGUGCCGAUGUCUGCGUCCUCUUUAACGGGGCUCAACAGAGACGUGAUGCUGAUUUCAGGUUGGUUGUCGUUAACAUCCGUUACCUCGACUAAAACCUUACCG